rnacentral:lncRNA from 1 species
AUGCAAGAUCUUCCAUGGUGACUUAUUUCUUUCAUGAGAAGCAGGCCAGAAAAGCUCAAGUAGACUAAAACUAAAAACUACCUGAUCUCCUUUACAUUAAGGUUUGCAGGUUUCUUCAAAGAAUAUUUACAGCUCUAUGGAACAGGAUAUUCUCUUGUGAAAUCACAAGUCUAUUUAGCCAUUUGUCCAGCAACUCUCAGCUGUCCUGUGGCUCCUACCAACUUGUCAUGGGGACAUUACUGGUCCAAAGCUCUCUGCAUCUCCACAGAGUGUUUUCUAAAAAUUAGUGUUGUAUUUGUGACCUUCCUUUCAUCUAACACUUAAGACAGUUUUAAGUGAAAAAAAUAUAAAGUACAGUUCAAAGUUCAGCCAUUUUAUCACUUGAAUUUCCUUAGAACUCUUGGAUGAAUACCAUCUGUCCUGUCAUUUUGUUUCAAGUUAUUUUACACUUGGAUUUGAGACAGAUGCUUCACCAUGCCUCUUCCAUUAAAAAAUUUUGUCAUGAAAACUGCCCGAAACUCCUCUACAGGGUUAAAAAAGUUUUUUUUUCUAGGUAUUGCUACUGUAUCAUGAGCAUCCAUUGUCCCUAGGGCAGUUUUGCAGCCAUUUUGGUUCUGCGGAUGCACAGACCUUGGAAAAUUUAAAUAAUCUUAUCAGAAAGACUUCAUGAAGCAUCACUGUUCUGCCCAGGGAGAGAAUGUUAGAAGUGAGAGGACGUGAUGGUGCAUUUCUGCAGGGAAGUCGGAACAGGAUGUGGAAUCUACUGGCAUGUGUGGGGAUAACAUUCCAACACUUCUCAUGCUGUUCUGCAAGCUGUGUAUUUUAUGAGAAGCCACUAACACUGGAGCCAGGGGGAGAGGGAAGGAGUAGCAACAUCUGGGAAGACAUGUCUCUAACCACAUCUGUCUCGCAGCCAAGGCCAGUGACCCUGAGCUCUGGAAGGGAAAGUUCCAAACAUUCACUCAUUAUCAGCUACUAUGCCAAAACAAAGACCUGUGCUUCAGCAGUCUGGGGAAAGAAGAUAAUCCAGGAGUAACUUCCCAAGAACUUCACUACUUAAGAGAUUUAUUUUUCACCCACAAGGUAACACAGGCAAGUGCUACUGCAAGGAAAGCAUCA